rnacentral:lncRNA from 1 species
UUUAUUAUUAUUAUUGUUUAAUAUAUAGUAGAAAUCAAAAUUUGCAGAUUUAUUAUUAAUUAUACACAAAGAAAAAAGGGAAUGAAAGUGUUUGGUCGUGGUUAUUGUUAACCGGUGGUGGUGGUGAGGAAAAUGGAUUCGGCGAGGAGUUGGUUAUCGAAGUUUCAACCGCGAGAUAAAUUAAGAGCUUCAACGAGGAAGAAAGAUGAUGUUAAUAUCGGUAAUAUCGGAAUUGAAGAUUCCAAUGCACCUCU